rnacentral:tRNA from 1 species
GCCGGUUUAGCUCAGUUGGUAGUAGCAAUCGCCUUGUAAGCGAUAGGUCGUCCGUUCGAGUCGGACAACCGGCACCA